UACGAAGGGGGCUAGCGUUGCCCGGAAUCACUGGGCGUAAAGGGUGCGUAGGCGGGUCCUUAAGUCAGGGGUGAAAUCCUGGAGCUCAACUCCAGAACUGCCUUUGAUACUGAGGAUCUUGAGUUCGGGAGAGGUGAGUGGAACUGCGAGUGUAGAGGUGAAAUUCGUAGAUAUUCGCAAGAACACCAGUGGCGAAGGCGGCUCACUGGCCCGAUACUGACGCUGAGGCACGAAAGCGUGGGGAGCAAACAGG
rnacentral:rRNA from 1 species